GAUGAACGCUAGCGAUAGGCUUAACACAUGCAAGUCGAGGGGCAGCAUGGUCUUAGCUUGCUAAGACUGAUGGCGACCGGCGCACGGGUGCGUAACGCGUAUGCAACUUGCCUCACAGAGGGGGAUAACCCGUCGAAAGACGGACUAAUACCGCGUACACUUGGGAUGGGGCAUCCUGACCCAAGGAAAUGAAAUUCGCUGUGAGAUAGGCAUGCGUCCCAUUAGCUAGUUGGUGAGGUAACGGCUCACCAAGGCGACGAUGGGGAGGGGAACUGAGAGGUUGAACCCCCACACUGGUACUGAGACACGGACCAGACUCCUACGGGAGGCAGCAGUGAGGAAUAUUGGUCAAGGGGCGAGAGCCGGAACCAGCCAAGUCGCGUGAAGGAUGACUGUCUUAUGGAUUGUAAACUUCUUUUAUACGGGAAUAACAAGAGCCACGUGUGGCUCCCUGCAUGUACCGUAUGAAUAAGCAUCGGCUAACUCCGUG
rnacentral:rRNA from 1 species